rnacentral:misc_RNA from 1 species
CAGCGACCCGUUUGAAUUUACCCUUGAAGUGCUUGACCGCGAGCAGCGACGCCAUCACAGCCUCGCAUUCAUUGUCAGUCGAGCGAAAUACAUAGCGCGACUUCGGCAUCACUUCCUUGACGCCAUCCUGCGUGGUGCCAUCCCACAUCACCAGGAGCGACUGCUCUUCUUCCGCAACAGGAGCUACGCCAAGGCUNCUGUCGAGAUCAGUCCGUGGACGCUUUCGACCUUCUCCUGCAGCACCAGGCGACGGAAACG